GACGAACGCUGGCGGCGUGCUUAACACAUGCAAGUCGAACGAAGAGCGAUGGAAGCUUGCUUCUAUCAAUCUUAGUGGCGAACGGGUGAGUAACGCGUAAUCAACCUGCCCUUCAGAGGGGGACAACAGUUGGAAACGACUGCUAAUACCGCAUACGAUCUAAUCUCGGCAUCGAGGAUAGAUGAAAGGUGGCCUCUACAUGUAAGCUAUCACUGAAGGAGGGGAUUGCGUCUGAUUAGCUAGUUGGAGGGGUAACGGCCCACCAAGGCGAUGAUCAGUAGCCGGUCUGGGAGGAUGAACGGCCACAUUGGGACUGAGACACGGCCCAGACUCCUACGGGAGGCAGCAGUGGGGAAUCUUCCGCAAUAGACGAAAGUCUGACGGAGCAACGCCGCGUGAGUGAUGACGGCCUUCGGGUUGUAAAGCUCUGUUAAUCGGGACGAAAGGCCUUCUUGCGAAUAGUGAGAAGGAUUGACGGUACCGGAAUAGAAAGCCACGGCUAACUACGUG
rnacentral:rRNA from 1 species